GACAGAGGUGCCGAGCGUUAGGCGGAAUCACUGGGCUUAAAAGCGUGUGUAGGCGGAUCGUUAAGUACCUUGUGAAAUCCCCCCGGCUCAACCGGGGGAAUGCUGGGUAUACUGGCGAUCUUGAGCGAUCUAGGGGGCAGAUGGAACAAGUGGUGGAGCGGUGAAAAUGCGUAGAUAUCACUUGGAACGCCAAAGGUGAAAAACAGUCUGCUGGGGGAUCUGCUGACGCUGAGAACACGAAAAGCCAGGGGGAGCGAACGGGG
rnacentral:rRNA from 1 species